AACGAACGCUGGCGGCAUGCCUAACACAUGCAAGUCGAACGAGACCUUCGUGUCUAGUGGCGCACGGGUUCGUAACGCGUUGGAACCUGCCCUUAGGUUCGGAAUAACUCCCCGAAAUGGGUGCUAAUACCGGUUAAUUUCUUCUGACCAAAGAUUUAUCGCCUUUGGAUGUUCCCGCGUUGGAUUAGCUAGUUGUUAGGGUAAAAGCCUACCAAGGCGACUAUCCAUAGCUGGUCUGAGAGGAUGAUCAGCCACACUGGGACUGAGACACGGCACAGACUCCUACGGGAAGCAGCAGUGGGGAAUAUUGGACAAUGGGCGAAAGCCUGAUCCAGCAAUGCCGCGUGAGUGAUGAAGGACUUAGGGUUGUAAAGCUGUUUUAAACGGGAUGAUAAUGACAGUACCGGGAGAAUAAGCGCCGGCUAACUCCGUG
rnacentral:rRNA from 1 species